UGUUUUAUAUUUUUAUUUGCUAAAUCUGGCAACCUUAUUCUCUUGUUAAUUCUUCAGUGCUUGCAGCUUUAUCUUCCUUUCUUUCCCCGUCUUCUAGGGAACACAGAUCCAGUUGUAGGAAGAACAUUCCAUUGUCUUUGUGACAGCAGCAUGUGGCCUCAGCAGUGGAGAGGACACAGAGAGAAGGCAGCACUCUGCAAACCAGGACAAGAGACCUCACCAGGGACAUAUUCAGCUGCCACCUUCAUGUUAGAUCCCUAAACCUCCAGAACCGUGAGAAAUAAACAUGAUU
rnacentral:lncRNA from 1 species